GUAUGCGAGAACUGCUAAUUCAUGCCCCCACGUAUAAAAGCGUGGCUUUUUCAACUUU
rnacentral:tRNA from 1 species